rnacentral:rRNA from 1 species
CUCAAAUUUGAAAUCUAGCACUUUCAGUGUUCGAGUUGUAAUUUGAAGAAGGUAACUUUGGUUUUGGCUCUUGUCUAUGUUCCUUGGAACAGGACGUCACAGAGGGUGAGAAUCCCGUGCGAUGAGAUGCCCAAUUCCAUGUAAAGUGCUUUCGAAGAGUCGAGUUGUUUGGGAAUGCAGCUCUAAGUGGGUGGUAAAUUCCAUCUAAAGCUAAAUAUUGGCGAGAGACCGAUAGCGAACAAGUACAGUGAUGGAAAGAUGAAAAGAACUUUGAAAAGAGAGUGAAAAAGUACGUGAAAUUGUUGAAAGGGAAGGGCUUGAGAUCAGACUUGGUAUUUUGCGUUCCCUUCCUUUUUGGUUGGGUUCCUCGCAGUUUACUGGGCCAGCAUCGGUUUGGAUGGUAGGAUAAUGACAUUGGAAUGUAGCUUUACUUCGGUGAAGUGUUAUAGACUUUGUUGAUACUGCCUAUCUAGACCGAGGACUGCGUCUUGACUAGGAUG